rnacentral:rRNA from 1 species
AACGAACGCUGGCGGCAGGCUUAACACAUGCAAGUCGAGCGCCCCGCAAGGGGAGCGGCAGACGGGUGAGUACCGCGUGGGAACGUACCUUUUGGUUCGGAACAACUCCGGGAAACUGGAGCUAAUACCGGAUAAGCCCUAACGGGGAAAGAUUUAUCGCCGAAAGAUCGGCCCGCGUCUGAUUAGCUAGUUGGUGAGGUAACGGCUCACCAAGGCGACGAUCAGUAGCUGGUCUGAGAGGAUGAUCAGCCACACUGGGACUGAGACACGGCCCAGACUCCUACGGGAGGCAGCAGUAGGGAAUAUUGGACAAUGGGCGCAAGCCUGAUCCAGCCAUGCCGCGUGAGUGAUGAAGGCCUUAGGGUUGUAAAGCUCUUUUGUCCGGGAAGAUAAUGACUGUACCGGAAGAAUAAGCCCCGGCUAACUUCGUG